rnacentral:rRNA from 1 species
CCUACGGGAGGCAGCAGUGGGGAAUAUUGCACAAUGGGGGAAACCCUGAUGCAGCGACGCCGCGUGAGCGAUGAAGUAUUUCGGUAUGGAAAGCUCUAUCAGCAGGGGAGAAAAUGACGGUACCUGACUAAGAAGCCACGGCUAACUACGUGCCAGCAGCCGAGGUAAUACGUAGGGGGCCAGCGUUAUCCGGAUUUACUGGGCGUAAAGGGAGCGUAGACGGGCUGGAAAGCCAGAUGUGAAAGCCCGCGGCUCAACCCAGAGACUGCAUUUGAAACUGUAAGCCUUGAGUGUAGGGGAGGUAGGCGGAAUUCGUGGUGUAGCGGUGAAAUGCGUAGAUAUUAGGAGGAACACCAAUGGCGAAGGCGGCCUGCUGGACGGUGACUGACGUUGAGGCUCGAAAGCGUGGGGAGCAAACAGGAUUAGAUACCCUAGUAGUC